UUGAAUAGCUCCAAAAUAUCAAAAAUUAAAAGUUGAGGAUCUUAUAUAACACGUUUUACUGAUUAUAACAAUAAGUAAUUGCAUUUGUAGGCAAAGAAACUAAGCAAUAUAUAUAACUAAACAAUAUAAUAUAGAUAUAAAUACAAUAUUAAACAGUAAAAAGUUGAUAAGAACAUGAAGUAAAUAAACAACAGCAGGCGAGCUUUGGAAAAACCAUGUAUUAUAGAAUAAUAAUAGAUUACAUUGUUCAUGGUAAUAAUGAUAUAAUAAACCAGAAUAUACCUGACAAUAAUAAUAAGAAUCUAAAAUAACACGAAUACUGAAUACAUAUUAUUAACAAUAAUGAGAGGAGGGACUUUGGGGAUGUUUGGCAAAGGAAGGGGCCAAGCCGCUCAGAAUUAUAUUCGAAAUAAAAGAAAAAAGAAGAGAAGACGAGAAGGAAGUAAAUAAAGUUUCUUAGAUAAAAUUAAUAAGAUUUUCUGAUUAAACGUAACAUCUUUGACACGUUUAGUCAUUUGAGCAUUUUAAAAUAAAAAUUGACUAAAUAACUCGACGCAAAACGAUUUCAAUUACGUUUGACAUCCGCUCCUCUUACGCAAAAAAAAAAUUAUGUAUUUGUGAAUUAAUAGAACAAGACAAAAAAAAAAUUAAAACAAAAAAAGAAAACGAAAUACAAUGACGGGAAUGACAAUUGGCUGCAUUUAAGACUUACUGCUAAAGUAAUUACGACAAAUUGCUAAUGAGCAAUUUAUACGAUCGUUUAAAAAAAACAACGCAUUUAUGGCGCUGAUUCAUAUAAAAUGUAAAUUUUUUUUUCUUUUUCGAAAAAUAAUAAAAUAGAUGAUUUUUCGCAUUCUCUCCGAUUAAACAUGAAACCCGUAAUGUUUUGUCUUGUCUAACGUGCUGUCAUAUAAAAUAAGGAAAAAACCUUUUCAUAUGUAUAAGUAUAUAUAUAUGUAUAUAUAUAUAUAUAUAUAUAUGUAUAUAUGUAUAUAUAUAUAUAUAUAUAUGUAUAUAUGUAUAUAUAUAUAUAUAUAUAUAUAUGUUGAGUGUGCGUGUAUAUAUUUGUAAUAUGUAUGCAUAGUGCACGCACCACGAUAACAUUUUUAUAUUUGUUUGUAGCACGUGACAGUUUUUACGUGUCAAAUUAUUGAAUUAUAUUUUUCAAGCCGAAGAUAGAAGAACGAAGAAAAAAAAAAAA